CAAACGACUCUCGGCAACGGAUAUUUCGGCUCUCGCAUCGAUGAAGAACGUAGAGAAAUGUGAUACUUGGUGUGAAUUGCAGAAUCCCGUGAGCCAUCGAGUUUUUGAAUGCAAGUUGCGCCCGAAGCCGUCCGGCCAAGGGCACGUUUGCCUGGGAGUCACGC
rnacentral:rRNA from 1 species